CAUCACCUUCGAUUUUAUUGCUAAAAACACCAACUCAGCUCCUCCUUCCCCCCUCCAACUUCAGAAACACAAUUUUACCCCCAAAUUCCUCACCAACUCUCAUUUUAUCCUUUUCUUUUCUGCAUUCCUCACCAAGUUCAGAAACAAUGAAUAUUGUUAAUUUCCGCACCAACCCUCAUUUUACCCUAAAUUCACCAACCCUUAUCUCUGCUACCGGCGUCACGAUUGCGCCGCCAUCGCGCUUUGUUGCUGCCAUGCUGCUGUCGCUCCUCUUGCUCGCACCGCCGGCGCUCCUUCUCUCUGUUGCCGCUAUCGCUCCUCCUACUUUGGUCCUUCUCCGCUCUCUCUCAAUUGAUGGAUGCAUUCCUGGAAUUUCAACAAUGGCCGUUACUGUUCAUCUCCCUUCUGAUUUUUCCCUCUACUUUUCUUUUUCUCAAAUACCAAAAGGUUACUUCUUACUUUGCUCUGAUCAUAGCUCUCUUUUAUUCUUUUUUUUUUCAGUUUCAAAAUUUCUUUUUCUUCUUUGGUGUUUCCGACUUCUCCACCGGUUCCUGAGUUGAGAGCUCAAUUAAAUUCAAUUCACCACCGAAUGGUUCAACGGUUGUGGCUUGUAGGAAGUUAUUGGGUGAGUUGAGAAAGCAUGAGAAAUGGAAAUAGGCAGGGGAGGAGGAAGAAGAGGAGGAGUUUGAAGAACAUGAUGCAGUGACUGUGCUCAGGGGAGCAGUUGAGACGAGGAGGCAUGGAUGAGAUGGCAGUUCUUUCGACAUCGGAUUCUCUUGCCACCAAGGACUAUUAUUUAGCCACGACGGGCAGCGGCCGUUCUGGCCAGGAUGGACAACUUCAAGGAAGGCUGGAUGCAGGAAAUAUCAAAGAAGCUGAAUUGUCGUUGCGUGAGGCUGGCUGCUUGAAUUAUGAGGUAUUUUCUAUAGUAAUGGUUCAUCAUUGGAUGCAAUAGCAGAUACUAACUGAUGUAGUUAGUGGUACUUAUCAAAUUAUAUGGCUUGGAGAUUUGAAUUACCGGAUAGCUCUAUCCUACGGUUCAGCAAAGGCACUUGUUGAGAUGCAAAAUUGGAGAGCAUUAUUGGAGAAUGACCAGGUACCAAUGGUCUAAAAAGGUGUGGAAAAAGUUGUAGAUUGAGAUGGCUUAACUAUUUGAGGCCUAACAUUAAGCAUGGUGAAUUCUCCGACGAGGAAGAUAGAAUAAUCUGCAGUCUUUAUGCUAAUAUUGGAAGCAGAUGGUCAAUUAUAGCAGCACAGUUGCCAGAAAGGACUGACAAUGAUAUAAAGAACUAUUGGAACACCAAGCUCAAGAAGAAGCUCAUGGCUUUGCUUCCCAGUCAUCAUCAUAAUCAACAAAACCCACCACCAUUCAUUUCUGAUUAAUUAAUUAGUUAAUGUAUAUGUAAGUUACUAGUGAUAUGCACGCUGCACCCAUAAUUAUAAUCAUAAUCAAACUCCUUUUUUU